AAUGUGAACCAGCUACAGGCAUGCCUAAACCCCCCUGCCCUUGGACCUCUAUCCCCCGGCCCCACAUCCCCCUCUAGGUCCUCACAGAGCAGCCAGUGGAGCUCCCUGCGUUAUAUCGCAGGUUACCACUAUCUGGCUUACACAUACUAGUGUGGAUAUGUCAAUGCUAGUCUCUUGAUUCAACCUCCCUUGUCUCCCCUCCUCUGGGGGACGAGGGUGGGUUAGGGAGUGACACUGAAAUUUCCAGCCCUCUAAUCACACGGUUGGCUUCACUGGCAACCAGCCCCCAGCCUUAGGUGCCUCUAAAGUCAAAUCUUUACAAAAGACUCCUUUUCACUCACAUCACUUCUGAAACUCCAAUGGUUUUAGGAGCUCUGUGUCAGAAACAGUGGUGGACAACCAAAUAUACGUAUUUCUUAUUAAAAAGCACAGUAUCACUGAUACUCAGAAACUAAAGGAAAAAUCUCUUUCUAAAAUUAAAAAUAGCAAAUGUUUGGAAAGUUGAAGUCAUGGGGCAUGUGGAAAGUAGAUUCUGUCAAAGUUCCUUUGUAAAUGGGGCUAAGUGAACUGUGCGUCAUGGUGGACCAGGUUUUCUGAGUUAAGCAGGGGGCUGGAGCAGUACCUCCACAAGGGAACUGGGACUGAAAUAACUCAGCUGACCACUCAGCAAUGGCCAGACAGGUUCCACUUUCCCAGAGGGGCACAGACUGGAACUGGAGUCCGUCUAAGGAAACAACAUCCUUGAGGAAUGGAAGAGCCGAUGAAGUCCAAGAAAUAGUGGACGGUUGGUUGCCUAACGCGGAGGCAAGGACCCAGGGCUGGUCCCAGGGCUGCUCAUGGAGGGGAAGGUGCAUCUCCACUGCAUCGCGGCAAGUCUUCCAGACCUGUCUGCAGCUCUUCCUGUAACCAAGAGGCCUUUUCCUGUGUUUAAACUCACCACCAAUGGCUAUCCUACCAAAGGAUCUCAAGGUGCUUGGAGAGAGCCUGUCAGUAGAAGAAUAGACCUAUACGACCACUCUGGAGGA
rnacentral:lncRNA from 1 species